UUUACCGCGGCUGCUGGCACCAGUCUUACCCACCACUUAUUCUCCAAGAUAUUUACUCUUGGCAAAAGCUUAGUUAAACUAAGCACUUUGGGUUCCCCUCUCACGCUUGCGCGCAUUGGAAAGGUUUCGCGCCUGCUGCACCCCGUAGGGAAUCUCUAGAGGAUCCCCGGGUACCGAGCUCGAAUUCGUAAUCAUGGUCAUAGCUGUUUCCUGUGUG
rnacentral:rRNA from 1 species